rnacentral:rRNA from 1 species
AGUCGACGAUGAAUCUUCUAGCUUGCUAGAAGUGGAUUAGUGGCGCACGGGUGAGUAAUGCAUAGGUUAUGUGCCCUUUAGUCUGGGAUAGCCACUGGAAACGGUGAUUAAUACUGGAUACUCCCUACGGGGGAAAGUUUUUCGCUAAAGGAUCAGCCUAUGUCCUAUCAGCUUGUUGGUGAGGUAAUGGCUCACCAAGGCUAUGACGGGUACCCGGCCUGAGAGGGUGAUCGGACACACUGGAACUGAGACACGGUCCAGACUCCUACGGGAGGCAGCAGUAGGGAAUAUUGCUCAAUGGGGGAAACCCUGAAGCAGCAACGCCGCGUGGAGGAUGAAGGUUUUAGGAUUGUAAACUCCUUUUGUUAGAGAAGAUUAUGACGGUAUCUAACGAAUAAGCACCGGCUAACUCCGUGCCAGCAGCCGCGGUAAUACGGAGGGUGCAAGCGUUACUCGGAAUCACUGGGCGUAAAGAGUGCGUAGGCGGGGUAAUAAGUCAGAUGUGAAAUCCUGUAGCUUAACUACAGAACUGCAUUUGAAACUGUUACUCUGGAGUGUGGGAGAGGUAGGUGGAAUUCUUGGUGUAGGGGUAAAAUCCGUAGAGAUCAAGAGGAAUACUCAUUGCGAAGGCGACCUGCUGGAACAUUACUGACGCUGAUGCACGAAAGCGUGGGGAGCAAACAGGAUUAGAUACCCUGGUAGUCCACGCCCUAAACGAUGGAUGCUAGUUGUUGCCUUGCUUGUCAGGGCAGUAAUGCAGCUAACGCAUUAAGCAUCCCGCCUGGGGAGUACGGUCGCAAGAUUAAAACUCAAAGGGAUAGACGGGGACCCGCACAAGCGGUGGAGCAUGUGGUUUAAUUCGAAGAUACGCGAAGAACCUUACCUAGGCUU